GCGGGGUUAGCUCAGUUGGGAGAGCGUCAGACUGAAGUUCAACUUCAUUCUUGAAUCAUUGGUUUAAUCUGAAGGUCGUGCGUUCGAUCCGCACACACCGCA